UGGGGAAUUUUGGACAAUGGACGCAAGUCUGAUCCAGCCAUGCCGCGUGCGGGAAGAAGGCCUUCGGGUUGUAAACCGCUUUUGUCAGGGAAGAAACGCUCUGGGCUAAUACCCUGGGGUAAUGACGGUACCUGAAGAAUAAGCACCGGCUAACUACGUGCCAGCAGCCGCGGUAAUACGUAGGGUGCAAGCGUUAAUCGGAAUUACUGGGCGUAAAGCGUGCGCAGGCGGUUAUGCAAGACAGGGUGAAAUCCCCGGGCUCAACCUGGGAACUGCCUUUGUGACUGCAUAGAUAGAGUACGGUAGAGGGGGAUGGAAUUCCGCGUGUAGCAGUGAAAUGCGUAGAUAUGCGGAGGAACACCGAUGGCGAAGGCAAUCCCCUGGACCUGUACUGACGCUCAUGCACGAAAGCGUGGGGAGCAAACA
rnacentral:rRNA from 1 species